rnacentral:rRNA from 1 species
CCGCCUGGGGAGUACGGCCGCAAGGUUAAAACUCAAAUGAAUUGACGGGGGCCCGCACAAGCGGUGGAGCAUGUGGUUUAAUUCGAUGCAACGCGAAGAACCUUACCUACUCUUGACAUCCUGCGAACUUGUGAGAGAUCACUUGGUGCCUUCGGGAGCGCAGAGACAGGUGCUGCAUGGCUGUCGUCAGCUCGUGUUGUGAAAUGUUGGGUUAAGUCCCGUAACGAGCGCAACCCUUGUCCUUAUUUGCCAGCGGGUAAUGCCGGGAACUCUAAGGAGACUGCCGGUGACAAACCGGAGGAAGGUGGGGACGACGUCAAGUCAUCAUGGCCCUUACGAGUAGGGCUACACACGUGCUACAAUGGCCGGUACAAAGGGUUGCGAGCUCGCGAGAGUCAGCUAAUCCCGAAAAGCCGGUCUCAGUCCGGAUCGGAGUCUGCAACUCGACUCCGUGAAGUCGGAAUCGCUAGUAAUCGUGAAUCAGAAUGUCACGGUGAAUACGUUCCCGGGCCUUGCUACACACCGCCCGU